AAAUUGAAGAGUUUGAUCAUGGCUCAGAUUGAACGCUGGCGGCAGGCCUAACACAUGCAAGUCGAACGGUAACAGGAAGCAGCUUGCUGCUUCGCUGACGAGUGGCGGACGGGUGAGUAAUGUCUGGGAAACUGCCUGAUGGAGGGGGAUAACUACUGGAAACGGUGGCUAAUACCGCAUAACGUCGCAAGACCAAAGAGGGGGACCUUCGGGCCUCUUGCCAUCAGAUGUGCCCAGAUGGGAUUAGCUUGUUGGUGAGGUAACGGCUCACCAAGGCGACGAUCCCUAGCUGGUCUGAGAGGAUGACCAGCCACACUGGAACUGAGACACGGUCCAGACUCCUACGGGAGGCAGCAGUGGGGAAUAUUGCACAAUGGGCGCAAGCCUGAUGCAGCCAUGCCGCGUGUAUGAAGAAGGCCUUCGGGUUGUAAAGUACUUUCAGCGGGGAGGAAGGGAGUAAGGUUAAUAACCUUAUUCAUUGACGUUACCCGCAGAAGAAGCACCGGCUAACUCCGUGCCAGCAGCCGCGGUAAUACGGAGGGUGCAAGCGUUAAUCGGAAUUACUGGGCGUAAAGCGCACGCAGGCGGUCUGUCAAGUCGGAUGUGAAAUCCCCGGGCUCAACCUGGGAACUGCAUUCGAAACUGGCAGGCUGGAGUCUUGUAGAGGGGGGUAGAAUUCCAGGUGUAGCGGUGAAAUGCGUAGAGA
rnacentral:rRNA from 1 species